CCCACGAGGCAGUUUCCUCUUCUGUGAAAUGGGAGUGACCACCCGUCCUACCAGGCAGGACUGCUGAGUGUAGCAGUACAAAUGGACUGUGACUAACAGGAAAAGGAACCUCAUGGGAAGGUUAUCAGGAGUUCAGAUUAGAGAAUGAGGUUUGGAAAUGGACAGGAACCCGGGCAGCUCAGAGGAUGGCGAUGGGACAGGCUCCUCCGCAGUCGUGCUAUGCGGUGGAAAUGGUGCUGAGUGACUCCCAAGACGAGGACAGAAGAGGUGACCAGCUCCCACCCACCCCUCUCUCUCUCGGAGCACACCCCUUUGCAGCCCUGAGCCACCAGGAAGAAGCCCAGCUACUCAGAAGCUACUGGAGACACCAUGUGGGAAAGAAACCACAGAGACAGAGAGAGAGGCUCGGGGAGCCCGGCUGUUCACUUCUUCUCCGCCCCUGUGCAGGCGUGUGAGCGAGCCUUCAGGAUAAUGAAAGCCCUUGUGAAUGCUGGAGUCCCUGUGCCCCAAGUUCUUGACCUCUGUGAAGAUUCAAGGUAAGUUAGCAAAAGCAUGGAGACAAUUGUGAUGGUAGUUAUAAAACUGUGUGUUUGUCAAAAUCCAUAAAAUGCUACACUUCAAUACACCUGAU